rnacentral:lncRNA from 1 species
CGCCAAGUUCGUCCAACGGAAAAAGGCCACAAAAACGGGUGGGCUAUAGCCUUGGGUGGUGGGGCUGGCCAACUUCGUCCGCCGGACUCGGAAUGCCACGAGUCUUUACGAGGGGCCUCCGUGUGCCAAAAAUAGGCCGCGGCCAAAGCUGCGCCCAAAAAUAACCGCCCGAAGGCCGGGGCGCAAAGUUCGUCCAGCGGAAAAAGGCCACAAACACGGGUGGACUAUAGCCUUGGGGGGUGGGGCUGGCCCACUUCGUCCGCCGGACUCGGAAUGGUGCCAGAGUUUGCGAGGCGCCCCCGUGUGCCAGAAAUAGGCCACGGGCGCAGCAGCACCCAAAAAUAACCGCCCGAAGGCCGGGUUGCCAAGCUCGUCCAGCAGUAAAAGGCCACAAAAAUGGGCGGGCUAUAGCCUUGGGCGGUGGGGCUGGCCAACUUCGUCCGCCGGACUCGGAAUGCCGCGAGACUUUGCGAGGGGCCUCCGUGUGCCAAAAAUAGGCUGUGGGCAAUGCCGUAUCCAAAAAUAACCUCCCGAAGGCCGGGGCGCCAAGUUCAUCCAGCGGAAAAAGGGGACAAAAACGGGUGGACUAUAGCCUUGGGGGGUGGGGCUCGCCAACUUCGUCCAGCGGAAAAAGCCCACAAAAACGGGUGGGUUAUAGGCUUGGGGGGUGGGGCUCGCCAACUUCGUCCGCCGGACUCGGAAUGGCGCGAGGCUUUGCGAGGCGCCUCCGUGUGCCAAAAAUAGGCCGCGGGCACAGCCGCUCCCAGAAAUAACUGCCCAAAGGCCGGGGCGCCAAGUUCAUCCAGCGGAAAAAGGCCACAAAAACGGGUGGGCUAUAGCCUUGGGGGGUGGGGCUGGCCAACUUCGUCCGCCGGACUAGGAAUUCCGCGAGACUUUGCGAGGGGCCUCCGUGUGCCAAAAAUAGGCCGCGGGCACAGCCGCGCCCAAAAAUAACCGCCAGAAGGCCGGGGCGCCAAGUUCGUCCAGCGGAAAAAGGCUACAAAAACUGGUGGGCUAUAGCCUUGGGGGGUGGGGCUGGCCAACUUCGUCCGCCAGACUCGGAAUGGCGCGAGACUUUGCGAGGCACCUCCGUGUGCCAAAAAUUGGCCGCGGGCACAGCCGCGCCCAAAAAUAACCGCCCGAAUGCCGGGGCGCCAAGUUCGUCCAGCGGAAAAAGACCCCAAAAACGGGUGGGCUAUAGCCUUGGGGGGUGGGGCUGGCCAACUUCGUCCGCCGGACUCGGAAUGGUGCCAGAGUUUGCGAGGCGCCCCCGUGUGCCAGAAAUAGGCCACGGGCGCAGCAGCACCCAAAAAUAACCGCCCGAAGGCCGGGUUGCCAAGUUCGUCCAGCGGUAAAAGGCCACAAAAACGGGCGGGCUAUAGCCUUGGGGGGUGGGGCUGGCCAACUUCAUCCGCUGGACUCGGAAUGGCGUGAAAUUUUGCGAGGUGCGUCCGUGUGCCAAAAAUAGNNNNNNNNNNNNNNNNNNNNNNNNNNNNNNNNNNNNNNNNNNNNNNNNNNNNNNNNNNNNNNNNNNNNNNNNNNNNNNNNNNNNNNNNNNNNNNNNNNNNNNNNNNNNNNNNNNNNNNNNNNNNNNNNNNNNNNNNNNNNNNNNNNNNNNNNNNNNNNNNNNNNNNNNNNNNNNNNNNNNNNNNNNNNGAACAGCCGUACCCAAAAAUACCCGCCCGGAGGCCGGGGCGCCAAGUUCGUCCAGCGGAAAAAGGCCACAAAAACGGGUGGGCUAUAGCAUUGGGGGGUGGGGCUGGCCAACUUUGUCCGCCGGACUUGGAUUGGCGCGAUACUUUACGAGGUGACUCCGUGUUCCAAAAAUAGGCCGCGGGCACAGCCGUGCCCAAAAAUAACUGCCCGAAGGCCGGGGCGCCAAGUACGUCCAGCGGAAAAAGGCCCCAAAAACGGGUGGGCUAUAGCCUUGGGGGGAGGGGCUGGCCAACUUCAUCCGCUGGACUCGGAAUGGCGUGAAAUUUUGCGAGGCGCCUCCGUGUGCCAAGAAUAGGCCGCGGGCUCAGCCGCACUAAAAAAUAACCACCCGAAGGCCGGGGCUCCAUGUUCGUCCAACGGAAAAAGGCCACAAAAACGGGUGGGCUAUAGCCUUGGGGGUGGGGCUGGCCAACUUCGUCCGCCGGACUCGGAAUGGCGCGAGAUUUGUGAGGCGCGUCCGUGUGCCAAAAAUAGGCUGCGGGCACAGCUGUGCCCAAAAAUAACAACCCGAAGGCCGGGCCGCCAUGUUCUUCCAGCGGAAAAAGCCCACAAAAACGGGUGGGCUAUAGCCUUGGGGGGUGGGGCCGGCCCACUUCGUCCGCCGGACUCGGAUUGGCGCGAUACUUUGCGAGGCGACUCCGUGUACCAAAAAUAGGCCGCGGGAAGAGCCGCGCCCAAAAUUAACCGCCCGAAGGCCGGGCCGCCAAGUUCGUCCUGCGGAAAAAGGCCACAAAAACGGGUGGGCUAUAGCCUUGGGGGUGGGGCUGGCCAACUUCGUCCGCCGGACUCGGAUUGGCGCGAUACUUUGCGAGGCGACUCCGUGUGCCAAAACUAGGCCGCGGGCAGAGCCGCGCCCAAAAAUAACCGCCCGAAGGCCGGGGCGCCAAGUUCGUCCAGCGGAAAAAGGCCCCAAAAACGGGUGGGCUAUAGCCUUGGGGGGUGGGGCUAGCCUAUUUCAUCCGCUGGACUCGGAAUGGCGUGAAAUUUUGCGAGGCAGCUCCGUGUGCCAAGAAUAGGCCGCGGUCUCAGCCGCGCUCAAAAAUAACCACCCGAAGGCCGGGGCUCCAUGUUCGUCCAACGGAAAAAGGCCACAAAAACGGGUGGGCUAUAGCCUUGGGGGUGGGGCUGGCCGACUUCGUCCGCCGGACUCGGAAUGGCGCGAGAAUUUGCAAGGUGCCUUCGUGUGCCAAAAAUAGGGCGCGGGCUCAUCCGCGCCCAAAAAUAACUGCCCGAAGGCCGGGGCGCCAAGUUCGUCCAGCGGAAAAAGGCCACAAAAACGGGUGGGCUAUAGCCUUGGGGGGUGGGGCUGGCCAACGUCAUCCGCCGGACUCGGAAUGGCGCGAGACUUUGUGAGGCGCCUCCCUGUGCCAAAAAUAGGCCGCAGGCACAGUCGCGCCCAAAAAUAACUGCCCGAAGGCCGGGGUGCCAAGUUCGUCCAGCGGAAAAAGGCCCCAAAAACGGGUGGGCUAUAGCCUUGGGGGGUGGGGCUGGCCAACUUUGUCCGCCGGACUCGGAAUGCCGCGAGACUUUGCGAGGCUCCUCCGUGUGCCAAAAUAGGCCCCGGGCACAGCCACACCCAAAAAUAACCGCCCGAAGGCGGGGGUGCCAAGUUCGUCCAGCAGAAAAAGGCCACAAAAACGGGUGGGCUAUAGCCUUGGGCGGUGGGGCUGGCCCACUUCGUCCGCCAGACUCGGAAUGGCACGAGACUUUGUGAGGCACCUCCGUGUGCCAAAAAUUGGCCGCGGGCUAAGCCGCGCCCAAAAAUAACCGCCCGAAGAACGGGGCGCCAAGUUCGUCCAGCGGAAAAAGCCCACAAAAACGGGUGGACUAUAGCCUUGGGGGGUGGGGCUGGCAAACUUAGUCCGCCGGACUCGGAAUGGCGCGAGACUUUGCGAGGUGCGUCCAUGUGCCAACAAUAGGCCGCGGGCACAGCAGCGCCCAAAAAUAACUACGCGAAGCCCGGGACGCCAUGUUCGUCCAGCGGAAAAAGGCCAUAAAAACGGGUGGGCUGUAGCCGUGGGGGGUGGGGCUGGCCAACUUCGUCCGCCGGACUCGGAAUGGUACGAGACUUGCGAGGCCCCUCCGUGUGCCAAAAAUAGGCCGCGGGCACAGCAGCGCCCAAAAAUAACCGCCCGAAGGCCGGGGCGCCAAGUUCGUCCAGCGAAAAAAGGCCCCAAAAACGGGUGGGCUAUAGCCUUGGGGGGUGGGGCUGGCCAACUUCAUCCGCUGGACUCGGAAUGGCUCGAAACUUUGAGAGGUACCUCCAUGUACAAAAAAUAGGCCACGGGCACAGCCGCGCCCAAAAAUAACCGCCUGAAGGCCGGGGCACCAAGUUCAUCCAGCGGAAAAAGCCCACAAAAACGGGAGGGCUACAGCCUUGGGGGGUGGGGCUGGCCGACUUCGUCCGCCGGACUCGGAAUGGUGCGAGACUUUACGAGGCACCUCCGUUCGCCAAAAAUAGGCCGCGCGCACAGCCGAACCCAAAAAUAACCAACCGAAGGCCGGGGCGCCAAGUUCGUCCAGCGGAAAAAGCCCACAAAAACGGGUGGGCUAUAGCCUUGGGGGUUGGGGCUGGCCAGCUUCGUAAGCCGGACUCGGAAUGGUGCGAGACUUUGCGAGGAGCCUCCGAGUGCCAAAAAUAGGCCGUGGACACAGCCGAACCCAAAAAAAACCACCCGAAGGCUGGGGCGCCAAGUUCGUCCAGCGGAAAAAAGCCACAAAAACGGGUGGGCUAUAGCCUUGGGGCGUGGGGCUGGCCAACUUCGUCCGCCGGACUCGGAAUGGCGUGAGACUUUGCGAGGCACCUCUGUGUGCCAAAAAAUGGCCGCGGGCACAGUCGCGCCAAAAAAUAACCGCCCGAAGGCCGGGGCGCAAAGUUCGUCCAGCGGAAAAAGGCCACAAAAACGGGUGGGCUAUAGCCUUGGGGGGUGGGGCUCGCCAACUUCGUCCGCCGGACUCGGAGUGGCGCGAGACUUUGCGAGGCGCCUCCAUGUGCCAAAAAUAGGCUGUGGUCACAGCCGCGCCGAAAAAUAACGGCCUGAAGGCCAGGGCGCCAAGUUCGUCCAGCCGAAAAAGGCCACAAAAACGGGUGGGCUAUAGCCUUGGGGGGCGGGGCUGGCCAACUUCGUCCGCCGGACUCGGAAUGGCGUGAGACUUUACGAGGUGCCUCCGUGUGCCAAAAAAGGCUGAGGGCACAGCCGUGUUAAAAAAUAACCGCCCGAAGGCUGGGGCGCCAAGUUCGUCCAGCGGAAAAAAGCCACAAAAACGGGUGGGCUAUAGCCUUGGGGGGUGGGGCUGGCCAACUUCGUCUGCCGGACUCGGAAUGGCGCGAGACUUUGGGAGGCGCCUCCGUGUACCAAAAAUAGGCUGCGGGCGCAGCCGCACCCAAAAAUAAUCGCCCGAAGGCCGGGGCGCCAAGUUCGUCCAGCGGAAAAAGGCCACAAAAACGGGUGGGCUAUAGCCUUGGGGGGUGGGGCUGGCCAACCUCGUCCGCCAGACUCGGAAUGGCGCGAGACUUUGCGAGGCGCCUUUGAGUGCCAAAAAUAGGCCGCGGGCACAGCCGCACCCAAAAAUAACCUCCCGAAGGCCGGGGCGCAAAGUUUGUCCUGCGGAAGAAGGCCACAAAAACGGGUGGGCUAUAGCCUUGGGCGGUGGGGCUGGCCCACUUCGUCCGCCGGACUCGGAAUGGCGCGAGACUUUGCGAGGCGCCUCCAUGUGCCAAAAAUAGGCUGCGGGCACAGCCGCGCCCAAAAAUAACGGCCUGAAGGCCGGGGUGCCAAGUUUGUCCAGCGGAAAAAGGCCACAAAAACGGGUGGGCUAUAGCCUUGGGGGGUGGGGCUGGCCAAUUUCGUCCGCCGGACGCGGAAUAGCGCGAGACUUUGCGAGGCGCCACCGUGUGCCAAAAAUAGGCCGCGGGCACAGCCGCGCCCAAAAAUAACCACCCGAAGCCCGGGGCGCCAAGUUCGUCCAGCGGAAAAAGGCCACCAAAACGGGUGGGCUAUAGCCUUGGGGGGUGGGGCUGGGCAACUUCGUCCGCCGGACUCGGAAUUGCACGAGACUUUACGAGGUGCCUCCGUGUGCCAAAAAUAGGCCACGGGCACAGCCGCGCCCAAAAAUAACCGCCCGAAGGCCGGGGCGCCAAGUUCGUCCAGCGGAAAAAGCCCACAAAAACGGAUGGGCUAUAGCCUUGGGGGGUCGGGCUGGCCAACUUCGUCCGCCGGACUCGGAAUGGCGCGAGACUUUGCGAGGCACCUCCGUGUGCCAAAAAUAGGAUGAGGACACAGCCGCGCCUAAAAAUAACCGCCCGAAGGCCGGGGCGCCAAGUUCGUCCAGCGGAAAAAGGCCCAAAAAACGGGUGGGCUAUAGCCUUGGGGGGUGGGGCUGGCCAACUUCGUCCGCCGGACUCGGAAUGGCGCGAGACUUUGCGAGGUGCCUCCGUGUGCCAAAAAUAGGCCGCGGGCACAGCUGCGCCCAAAAAUAACUGCCCGAAGGCCGGGGCGGCAAGUUCGUCCAGCGGCAAAAGGCCACAAAAACGGGUGGGCUAUAGCCUUCGGGGGUGGGGCUCGCCAACUUCGUCCGCCGGACUCGGAAUGGCGCGAGACUUUGCGAGGUGCCUCCGCGUGCCAAAAAUAGGCCGCAGGCACAGCUACGCCCAAAAAUAACCACCCGAAGGCCGGGGCGGCAAGUUCGUCCAGCGGAAAAAGGCCACAAAAACGGGUGGGCUAUAGCCUUCGAGGGUGGGGCUGGCUAACUUCGUCCGCCGGACUCGGAAUGGCGCGAGACUUUGCGAGGCACCUCCGUGUGCAAAAAAUAACCCGCGGGCACAGGCGCCCCCAAAAAUAACCGCCCGAAGGCCGGGGCGCCAAGUUCGUGCAGCGGAAAAAGGCCCAAAAAACGGGUGGGCUAUAGCCUUGGGGGGUGGGGCUGGCCCACUUCGUCCGCCGGACUCGGAAUGGCGCGAGACUUUCGAGGCACCUCUGUGUGCUAAAAAUAGGCCACGGGCACAGCCGCGCCCAAAAAUAACUGCCCGAAGGCCGUGGCGCCAAGUUCGUCCAGCGGAAAAAGGCCACAAAAACGGGUGGGCUAUAUCCUUAGGGGGUGGGGCUGGCCAACUUCGUCCGCCGGACUCGGAAUGGCGCGAGACUUUGCGAGGCGCCUCCGUGUGCCAAAAAUAGGCCGCGGGCACAGCCGCGCCCAAAAAUAACCGCCCGAAGGCCGGGGCGCCAAGUUCGUCCAGCGGAAAAAGGCCACAAAAACGGGUGGGCUAUAGCCUUGGGGGGUGGGGCUGGCCCACUUCGUCCGCCGGACUCGGAAUGGCGCGAGACUUUGCUAGGCGCCUCCGUGUGCCAAAAAUAGGCUGCGGGCACAGCUGCGCCCAAAAAUAACCGCCCGAAGGCUGGGGCGCCAAGUUCGUCCAGCGGAAAAAGGCCACAAAAACGGGUGGGCUAUAGCCUUCGGGGGUGGGGCUGGCCGACUUCGUCCGCCGGACUGGGAAUGGCACGAGACUUUGCAAGGUACCUCCGUGUGCAAAAAAUACCCCGCGGGCACAGCUGCCCCCAAAAAUAACCCCCCGAAGGCCGUGGCGCCAAGUUCGUCCAGCGGAAAAAGGCCCAAAAAACGGGUGGGCUAUAGCCUUGGGGGGUGGGGCUGGCCAACUUCGUCCGCCGGACUCGGAAUGGCGCGAGACUUCGCAAGGCACCUCCGUGUGCUAAAAAUAGGCCAUGGGCACAGCCGCGCCCAAAAAUAACUGCCCGAAGCCAGGGGCGCCAAGUUCGUCCAGCCGAAAAAGACCACAAAAACGGGUGGGCUAUAUCCUUCGGGGGUCGGGCUGGCCAACUUCGUCCGCCGGACUCGGAAUGGCGCGAGACUUUGCGAGGCGCCUCCGUGUGCCAAAAAUAGGCCGCGGGCACAGCUGCGCCAAAAAAUAACCGCCCGAAGGCCGGGGCGCCAAGUUCGUCCAGCGGAAAAAGGCCACAAAAACGUGUGGGCUAUAACCUUGGGGGGUGGGGCUGGCCAACUUAGUCCGCCGGACUCGGAAUGGUGCGAGACUUUGCGAGGCGCCUCCGUGUACCAAAAAUAGGCCGCGGGCACAGCCGCGCCCAAAAAUAACCGCCCGAAGCCUGGGGCGCCAAGUUCGUCCAGCGGAAAAAGACCACAAAAACGGGUGGGCUAUAUCCUUCGGGGGUGGGGCUGGCCAACUUCGUCCGCCGGACUCGGAAUGGCGCGAGACUUUGCGAGGCACCUCCAUGUGCUAAAAAUAGGCCACGGGCACAGCCGCGCCCAAAAAUAACUGCCCGAACCCCGGGGCGCCAAGUUCGUCCAGCCGAAAAAGACCACAAAAACGGGUGGGCUAUAUCCUUCGGGGGUCGGGCUGGCCAACUUUGUCCGCCAGACUCGGAAUGCGCGAGACUUUACGAGGUGCCUCCGCGUGCCAAAAAUAGGCCGCGGGCACAUCCGCGCCCAAAAAUAACCGCCCGAAGGCCGGGGCGCCAAGUUCGUCCAGCGGAAAAAGGCCACAAAAACGGGUGGGCUAUAGCCUUGGGGGGUGGGGCUGGCCCACAUCGUCCGCCGGACUCGGAAUGGCACGAGACUUUGUGAGGCGCCUCCGUGUGCCAAAAAUAGGCCGCGGGCACAGCCGCGCACAAAAAUAACCGCCCGAAGGCUGGGCCGCCAAGUUCGUCCAGCGGAAAAAGGCCACAAAAACGGGUGGGCUAUAGCCUUGGGGGGUGGGGCUGGCCCACUUCUUCCGCCGGACUCGGAAUGGCGCGAGACUUUGCGAGACGCCUCCGUGUGCCAAAAAUAGGCUGCGGGCACAGCCACGCCCAAAAAUAACCGCCCGAAGGCCGGGGCGCCAAGUUCGUCCAGCGGAAAAAGGCCCCAAAAACAGGUGGGCUAUAGCCUUGGGGGGUGGGGCUGGCCAACUUCGUCCGCCGGACUCGGAAUGGCGCGAGACUUUGCGAGGCGCCUCCGUGUGCUAAAAAUAGGCCGCGGGCGCAGCCGCGACCAAAAAUAACUGCCCGAAGCUCGGGGCGCCAAGUUCGACCAGCCGAAUAAGGCCACAAAAACGGGUGGGCUAUAGCCUUCAGGGGUGGGGCUGGCCUACUUCGUCCGCCGGACUCGGAAUGGCGCGAGACUUUGCGAGGUGCCUCCAUGUACCAAAAAUAGGCCGCGGGCACAGCCGCACCCAAAAAUAACCGCCCGAAGCCCGGGGCGCCAAGUUCGUCCAGCGGAAAAAGACCACAAAAACGUGUGGGCUAUAUCCUUCGGCGGUGGAGCUGGCCAACUUCGUCCGCCGGACUCGGAAUGGCGCGAGACUUUGCGAGGCACCUGCGUGUGCUAAAAAUAGGCCACGGGCACAGCCGAGCCCAAAAAUAACUGCCCGAAGGCCGGGGACACAAGUUCGUCCAGCGGAAAAAGGCCCAAAAAACGGGCGGGCUAUAGCCUUGGGGGGUGGGGCUGGCCCACUUCAUCCGCCGGACUCGGAAUGGCGCGAGACUUUGCGAGACGCCUCCGUGUGCCAAAAAUAGGCUGCGGGCACAGCCGUACCCAAAAAUAACCGCACGAAGGCCGGGGCGUUAAGUUCGUCCAGCGGAAAAAGGCCCAAAAAAUGGGUGGGCUAUAGCCUUGGGGGGUGGGGCAGGCCAACUUCGUCCGCCGGACUUGGAAUGGCGCGAGACUUUUCGAGGCGCCUCCGUGUGCUAAAAAUAGGCCACGGGCACAGCCGCGACCAAAAAUAACCGCCCGAAGCCCGGGGCGCCAAGUUCGACCAGCGGAAAAAGGCCACAAAAACGGGUGGGCUAUAGCCUUCGGGGGUGGGGCUGGCCAACUUCGUCCGCCGGACUCGGAAUGGCGCGAGACUUUCCGAGGUGCCUCCGUGUGCCAAAAAUAGGCCGCGGGCACAGCUGCGCCCAAAAAUAACCGCCCGAAGGCCGGGGCGGCAAGUUCGUCCAGCGGCAAAAUGCCACAAAAACGGGUGGGCUAUAGCCUUCGGGGGUGGGGUUGGCCAACUUCGUCCGCCGGACUCGGAAUGGCGCGAGACUUUCCGAGGCCCCUCCGUGUGCCAAAAAUAGGCCGCGGGCACAGCUGCGCCCAAAAAUAACCACCCGAAGGCUGGGGCGGCAAGUUCGUCCAGGGGAAAAAGGCCACAAAAACGGGUGGGCUAUAGCCUUCGGGGGUGGGGCUGAACAACUUUGUCCGCCUGACUCGGAAUGGCGCGAGACUUUCCGAGGCCCCUCCGUGUGCCAAAAAUAGGCCGCGGGCACAGCUGCGCCCAAAAAUAACCGCCCGAAGGCCGGGGCGCCAAGUUCGUCCAGCGGAAAAAGGCCACAAAACGGGUGGGCUAUAGCCUUGGGGGGUGGGGCUGGCCCACUUCGUCCGCCGGACUUGGAAUGGCGCAAGACUUUGUGAGGCGCCUCCGUGUGCCAAAAAUAGGCCGCGGGCACAGCCGCGCACAAAAAUAACCGUCCGAAGGCCGGGCCGCCAAGUUCGUCCAGCGGAAAAAGGCCACAAAAACGGGUGGGCUAUAGCCUUGGGGGGUGGGGCUGGCCCACUUCGUCCGCCGGACUCGGAAGGGCGCGAGACUUUGCUAGACGCCUCCGUGUGCAAAAAAUAGGCUUCGGGCACAGCCACGCCCAAAAAUAACUGGCCGAAGGCCGGGGCGCCAAGUUCGUCCAGCGGAAAAAGGCCCAAAAAACGGGUGGGCUAUAGCCUUGGGGGGUGGGGCUGGCCAACUUCGUCCGCCGGACUCGGAAUGGCGCGAGACUUUGCGAGGCGCCUCCGUGUCCCGAAAAUAGGCCGCGGGCACAGCCGCACCCAAAAAUAACCACCCGAAGCCCGGGGCGCCAAGUUCGUCCAGCGGAAAAAGACCACAAAAACGUGUGGGCUAUAUCCUUCGGCGGUGGAGCUGGCGAACUUCGUCCGCCGGACUCGGAAUGGCGCGAGACUUUGCGAGGCACCUGCGUGUGCUAAAAAUAGGCCACGGGCACAGCCGAUCCCAAAAAUAACUGCCCGAAGGCCGGGGAGACAAGUUCGUCCAGCGGAAAAAGGCCACACAAACGGGUGGGUUAUUGCCUUCGGGGGUGCGGCUGGCCAACUUCGUCCGCCGCACUCGGAAUGGCGCGAGAAUUUGCAAGGUGCCUCCGUGUGCCAAAAAUAGGCCGCGGGCACAGCCGUACCCAAAAAUAACCGCCCGAAGGCCGGGGCGCCAAGUUCGUCCAGCGGAAAAUGGCCACAAAAACGGGUCGGCUAUAGCCUUGGGGGGUGGGGCUGGCCAACUUCGUCCGCUGGACUCGGAAUUGUGCGAGACAUUGCGAGGCGCCUACGUGUGCAAAAAAUAGGCCACGGACACAGCCGCGCCCAAAAAUAACUGCCCGAAGGCCGGGGCGCCAAGUUCGUCCAGCGGAAAAAGGCCACAAAAACGGGUCGGCUAUAGCCUUGGGGGGUGGGGCUGGCCAACUUCGUCCGCCGGACUCGGAAUCGCGCGAGACUUUGCGAGGCGCCUUCGUGUGCAAAAAAUAGGCCGCAGGCACAGCCGCGCCCAAAAAUAACUGCCCGAAGGCCGGGGCGCCAAGUUCGUCCAGCGGAAAAAGGCCACAAAAACGGGUGGGCUAUAGCCUUGGGGGGUGGGGCUGGCCCACUUCGUCCGCCGGACUCGGAAUGGCGCGAGACUUUGCGAGGCGCCUCUGUGUGCCAAAAAUAGGCCGCGGGCACAGCCGCGCCCAAAAAUAACCGCCCGAAGGCCGGGGCGCCAAGUUCGUCCAGCGGAAAAAGCCCACAAAAACGGGUGGGCUAUAGCCUUGGGGGGUGGGGCGGGCCCACUUCGUCCGCCGGACUCGGAAUGGCGCGAGACUUUGCGAGGCGCCUUCGUGUGCCAAAAAUAGGCCGCGGGCACAGCCGCGCCUAAAAAUAACCGCCCGAAGGCCGGCGCGCCAAGUUCAUCCAGUGGAAAAAGCCCACAAAAACGGGUGGGCUAUAGCCUUGGGGGGUGGGGCGGGCCGACUUCGUCCGCCGGACUAUGAAUGGCGCGAGACUUUGCGAGGCGCCUCCGUGUGCCAAAAAUAGGCCGCGGGCAAAGCCGCGCCCAAAAAUAACCGCCCGAAGGCCGGGGCGCCAAGUUCGUCUAGCGGAAAAAGCCCACAAAAACGGGUGGGCUAUAGCCUUGGGGGGUGGGGCUGGCCAACUUCGUCCGCCGGACUCGGAAUGCCGCGAGACUUUGCGAGGGGCAUCCGUGUGCAAAAAAUCGGCCGCGGACAAUGCCGCACCCAAAAAUAACCGCCCGAAGGCCGGGCUGCCAAGUUCGUCCAGCGGAAAAAGCCCACAAAAACGGGUGGGCUAUAGCCUUGGGGGGUGGGGCUGGCCCACUUCGUCCGCCGGACUCGGAAUGCCGCGAGACUUUGCGAGGGGCAUCCGUGUGCAAAAAAUCGGCCGCGGACAAAGCCGCACCCAAAAAUAACCGCCCGAAGGCCGGGGCGCCAAGUUCGUCUAGCGGAAAAAUGCUACAAAAACGGGUGGGCUAUAGCCUUGGGGGGUGGGGCUGGCCAGCUUCGUCCGCCGGACUCGGAAUGGCGCGAGACUUUGCGAGGCGCCUCCGUGUGCGAAUAAUAGGCCACGGGCACAGCCACGUCCAAAAAUAACCGCCCGAAGGCCGGGGCGCCAAGGUCGUCCAGCGGAAAAAGGCCACAAAAAUGGGUGGGCUAUAGCCUUGGGGGGUGGGGCUGGCCAACUUCGUCCGCCGGACUCGGAAUGGCGCGAGACUUUGCGAGGCACCUCCGUGUGCGAAUAAUAGGCCACGGGCACAGCCGCGCCCAAAUAUAACCGCCCGAAGGCCGGGGCGCCAUGAUCGUCCUGCGGAAAAAGCCCACAAAAAUGGGUGGGCUAUAGCCUUGGGGGGUGGGCCUGGCCGACUUCGUCCGCCGGACUCGGAAUGGCGCGAGACUUUGCGACGCACCCCCGUGUGCCAAAAAUAGGCCGUGGGCACAGCCACGCCCAAAAAUAACCGCCCGAAGGCCGGGGCGCCAAGUUCGUCCAGCGAAAAAAGGCCACAAAAACGGGUGGGCUACAGCCUUGGGGGGUGGGGCUGGCCAACUUCUUCCGCCGGACUCGGAAUGGCGCGAGACUUUGCGAGGGGACUCCGUGUGCCAAAAAUAGGCCGCGGGCAAAGCCGCGCCCAAAAAUAACAGCCCGAAGGCCGGGGCGCCAAGUUCGUCCAUCGAAAAAAGGCCACAAAAACGGUUGGGCUACAGCCUUGGGGGGUGGGGCUGGCCUACUUCGUCCGCCGGACUCGGAAUGCCGCGAGACUUUGCGAGGGGCCUCCGUGUGCUAAAAAUAGGCUGCGGGCAAAGCCGCGAUAAAAAAUAACCGCCCGAAGGCCGGGGCGCCAAGUUCGUCCAGCGGAAAAAGCCCACAAAAACGGGUGGACUAUAGCCUUGGGGGGUGGGGCUAGCCAACUUCGUCCGCCGGACUCGGAAUGCCGCGAGACUUUUCGAGGGGCCUCCGUCUGCAAAAAAUCGGCCGCGGACAAAGCCGCGCCCAAAAAUAACCGCCCGAAGGCCGGGGCGCCAAGUUCGUCCAGCGGAAAAAGCCCACAAAAACGGGUGGGAUAUAGCCUUGGGGGGUGGGGCUGGCCGACUUCGUCCGCCGGACUCGGAAUGGCGCGAGACUUUGCGAGGCACCUCCGUGUGCCAAAAAAAGGCCGCGGGCACAGCCGCGCCCAAAAAUAACUUCCCGAAGGCCGGGGCGCCAGGUUCGUCCAGCGGAAAAAGCCCACAAAAACGGGUGGGCUAUAGCCUUGGGGGGUGGGGCUGGCCGACUUCGUCCGCCGGACUCGGAAUGGCGCGAGACUUUGCGAGGGGCCUCCGUGUGCCAAAAAUAGGCCGCGGGCAAAACCGCGCCCAAAAAUAACCGCCCGAAGGCCGGGGCGCCAUGUUCGUCCAGCGGAAAAAGGCCACAAAAACGGGUGGGCUAUAGCCUUGGGGGGUAGGGCUGGCCAACUUCGUCCGCCGGACUCGGAAUGCCGCGAGACUUUGCGAGGGGCCUCCGUGUGCCAAAAAUAGGCCGCGGGCAAAGCCGCGCCCUAAAAUAACUGCCCGAAGGCCGGGGCGCCAAGUUCGUCCAGCGGAAAAAGCCAAUAAAAACGGGUGGGCUAUAGUCUUGGGGGGUGGGGCUGGCCGACUUCGUCCGCCGGACUCGGAAUGGCGCGAGACUUUGCGAGGCGCCUUCGUGUGCCAAAAAUAGGCCGCGGGCACAGCCGCGCCUAAAAAUAACCGCCCGAAGGCCGGGGCGCCAAGUUCGUCCAGCGGAAAAAGCCCACAAAAACGGGUGGGCUAUAGCCUUGGGGGGUGGGGCUGGCCCACUUCGUCCGCCGGACUCGGAAUGACGUGAGACUUUGCGAGGCGCCUUCGUGUGCCAAAAAUAGGCCGCGGGCACAGCCGCGCCUAAAAAUAACCUCCCGAAGGCCGGGGCGCCAAGUUCGUCCAGCGGAAAAAGCCCACAAAAACGGGUGGGCUAUAGCUUUGGGGGGUGGGGCGGGCCCACUUCUUCCGCCGGACUCGGAAUGGCGCGAGACUUUGCGAGGGGCCUCCGUGUGCCAAAAAUAGGCCGCGGGCAAAGCCGCGCCCAAAAAUAACCGCCCGAAGGCCGGGGCGCCAAGUUCGUCCAGCGGAAAAAGGCUACAAAAACGGGUGGGCUAUAGCCUUGGGGGGUGGGGCUGGCCAACUUCGUCCGCCGGACUCGGAAUGCCGCGAGACUUUUCGAGGGGCCUCUGUGUGCAAAAAAUCGGCCGCGGACAAAGCCGCGCCCAAAAAUAACCGCCCGAAGGCCGGGGCGCCAAGUUCGUCCAGCGGAAAAAGGCCACAACAACUGGUGGGCUAUAGCCUUGGGGUGUGGGGCUGGCCAACUUCAUCAGCCGGAUUCGGAAAGCCGCAAGACCUUGCGAGGGGCUUCCGUGUGCCAAAAAUCGGCCGCGGGCAAAGCCCCGCCCAAAAAUAACCGCCCGAAGGCCGGGGCGCCAAGUUCGUCCGGCGGAAAAAGGCCACAAAAACGGGUGGGUUAUAGCCUUGGGGGGUGGGGCUGGCCAACUUCGUCCACCGGACUCGGCAUGCCGCGAGACCUUGCGAAGGGCCUCCGUGUGCCAAAAAUAGGCCGCGGGCUAACCGCGCCCAAAAAUAACCGCCCGAAGGCCGGGGCGUCAAGUUCGUCCAGCGGAAAAAGGCCACAAAAACGGGUGGGCUAUAGCCUUGGGGGGUGGGGCUGGCCAACUUCGUCCGCCGGACUCGGAAUGCCGCGAGACUUUGCGAGGGGCCUCCGUGUCCCAAAAAUAGGCCGCGGGAGAAGCCGUACCCAAAAAUAAGCGCCUGAAGGCCGGGUCGCCAUGUUCGUCCAGCGGAAAAAGGCCACAAAAACGGGUGGGCUACAGGCUUGGGGGGUGGGGUUGGCCGACUUCGUCCGCCGGACUCAGAAUGCCGCGAGACUUUGCGACGGCCCUCCGUGCGCCAAAAAUAGGCCGCGGGCAAAACCGCGCCCAAAAAUAACCGCCCAAAGGCCGGGGCGCCAAGUUCGUCCAGCGGAAAAAGGCCACAAAAACGGGUGGGCUAUAGCCUUGGGGGAUUGGGCUGGCCAACUUCGUCCGCCGGAUUCGGAAUGCCGUGAGACUUUGCGAGGGAUCUCCGUGUCCAAUAAAUAAUCCGUGGGCAAAGCCGCGCCUAAAAAUAACCCCCCGAAGGCCGGGGCGCCAAGUUCGUCCAUCGGUAAAAGGCCACAAAAACGGGUGGGCUAUAAUCUUGGGGGGUGGGGCUGGCCCACAUCGUCCGCCGGACUCGCCAUGCCGCGAGACUUUGCGAGGGGCUUCCGUGUGACAAAAAUAGGCCGCGGGCGAAGCCGCGCCCAAAAAUUACUGCCCGAAGGCCGGGGCGCCAAGUUCGUCCAGCGGAAAAAGGCCACAAAAACGGGUGGGCUAUUGCCUUGGGGGGUGGGGCUGGCCGACUUCGUCCGCCGGACUCAGAAUGCCGCGAGACUUUGCGACGGGCCUCCGUGUGCCAAAAAUAGGCCGCGGGCAAAGGCGCGGCCAAAAAUAACAGCCCGAAGGCCGGGGCGCCAAGUUCGUACGGCGAAAAAAGGCCACAAAAACGGGUGGGCUAUAGCCUUGGGGGGUGGGGCUGGCCAUCUUCGUCCGCCGGACUCGGAAUGCCGUGAGACUUUGCGAGGGAUCUCCGUGUGCCAAAAAUAAGCCGCGGGCAAAGCCGCGCCUAGAAAUAACCACCCGAAGGCCGGGGCGCCAAGUUCGUCCAGCGGAAAAAGGCCACAAAAACGGGUGGGCUAUAGCCUUGGGGGGUGGGGCUGGCCCACAUCGUCCGCCGGACUCGGCAUACCGUGAGACUUUGCGAGGGGCCUCCGUGUGCCAAAAAUAGGCCGCGGGCAAACCGCGCCCAAAAAUAACGGCCCGAAGGCCGGGGCGUCAAGUUCGUCCAGCGGCAAAAGGCCACAAAAACGGGUGGGCUGUAGCCUUGGGGGGUGGGGCUGGCCAACUUCGUCCGCCGGACUCAGAAUGCCGCGUGACUUUGCAUGGGGCCUAUGUGUGCCAAAAAUAGGCCGCGGGCAAAGCCGCUCCCAAAAAUAACCCCCCGAAGGCCGGGGCGCCCAGUUCGUCCAGCGGAAAAAGGCCACAAAAACGGGUGGGCUAUAGCCUUGGGGGGUGGGGCUGGCCAACUUCGUCCGCCGGACUCGGAAUGCCGCGAGACUUUGCAAGGGGCCUCCGUGUGCCAAAAAUAGGCCGCGGACAAAGCCGCGCCCAAAAAUUAUCGCCCGAAGGCCGGGGCGCCCAGUUCGUCCAGCGGAAAAAGGCCACAAAAACGGGUGGGCUAUAGCCUUGGGGGGUGGGGCUGGCCGACUUCGUCCGCUGGACUCAGAAUGCNNNNNNNNNNNNNNNNNNNNNNNNNNNNNNNNNNNNNNNNNNNNNNNNNNNNNNNNNNNNNNNNNNNNNNNNNNNNNNNNNNNNNNNNNNNNNNNNNNNNGCGCCAAGUUCGUCCAGCGGAAAAAGGCCACAAAAACGGGUGGGCUAUAGCCUUGGGGGGUGGGGCUGGCCCACAUCGUCCGCCGGACUCGGCAUGCCGCGAGACUUUGCGAGGGGCCGCCGUGUGCCAAAAAUAGGCCGCGGGUAAAAUCGCGCCCAAAAAUAACCGCCCGAAGGCCGGGGCGCCAAGUUCGUCCGGCGGAAAAAGGCCACAAAAACCGGUGGGCUAUAACCUUGGGGGGUGGGGCUGGCCAACUUCGUCCGCCGGACUCGGAAUGCCGCGUGACUUUGCAAGGGAUCUCCGUGUGCCAUAAAUAAUUCGCGGUCAAAGCCGCGCUUAAAAAUAACCACCCGAAGGCCGGGGCGCCAAGUUCGUCCAGCGGAAAAAGGCCACAAAAACGGGUGGGCUAUAGCCUUGGGGGGUGGGGCUGGCCAACUUUGUCCGCCGGACUCGGAAUGCCGCGAGACUUUGCGAGGGGCCUCCGUGUGCAAAAAAUAGACCGCGGGCAAACCGCACCCAAAAAUAACCGCCCGAAGGCCGGGACGUCAAGUUCGUGCAGCGGAAAAAGGCCACAAAAACGGGUGGGCUAUAGCCUUGGGGGGUGGGGCUGGCCAACUUCGUCCGCCGGACUCGGAAUGCCGCGAGACUUUGCGAGGGGCCUCCGUGUCCCAAAAAUAGGCCGCGGGCGAAGCCGCACCCAAAAAUAACCGCCCGAAGGCCGGGUCGCCAUGUUCGUCCAGCGGAAAAAGGCCACAAAAACGGGUGGGCUAUAGACUUGGGGGGUGGGGCGGGCCGACUUCGUCCGCCGGACUCAGAAUGCCGCGAGACUUUGCGACGGGCCUCCGUGUGCCAAAAAUAGGCCGCGGACAAAGGCGCGCCCAAAAAUAACCGCCCGAAGGCCGGGGCGCCAAGUUCGUCCGGCGGAAAACGGCCACAAAAACGGGUGGGCUAUAGCCUUGGGGGGUGGGGCUGGCCAUCUUCGUCCGCCGGACUCAGAAUGCCGCGUGACUUUGUAUGGGGCAUAUGUGUGCCAAAAAUAGGCCGCGGGCAAAGCCGCGCCAAAAAAUAACCGCCCGAAGGCCGGGGCGCCAAGUUCGUCCAGCGGAAAAAGGCCACAAAAACGGAUGGGCUAUAGCCUUGGGGGGUGGGGCUGUCCAACUUCGUCCGCCGGACUCGGAAUGCCGCGAGACUUUGCGAGGGGCCUCCGUGUGCUAAAAAAAUGGCCGCGGACAAAGCCGCGCCCAAAAAUAACAGCCCGAAGGCCGGGGCGCCAUGUUCGUCCAGCGGGAAAAGGCCACAAAAACGGGUGGGCUAUAGCCUUGGGGGGUGGGGCUGGCCGACUUCGUCCGCUGGACUCAGAAUGCCGCGAGACUUUGCAAGGGGCCUCCGUGUGACAAAAAUAGGCCGCGGGCAAAGCCGCGCCAAAAAAUAACCGCCCGAAGUCCGGGGCGCCAUGUUCGUCCAGCGGAAAAAGGCCACAAAAACGGGUGGGCUAUAGCCUUGGGGGGUGGGGCUGGCCAACUUCGUCCGCCGGGCUCGGAAUGCCGGGAGACUUGGCGAGGGGCCUCCGUGUGCAAAAAAUAGGCCGCGGGCAAACCACACCCAAAAAUAACCGCCCGAAGGCCGGGACGUCAAGUUCGUCCAGCGGAAAAAGGCCACAAAAACGGGUGGGCUAUAGCCUUGGGGGGUGGGGCUGGCCAACUUCGUCCGCCGGACUCGGAAUGCCGCAAGACUUUGCGACGGGCCUCCGUGUGCCAAAAAUAGGCCACGGGCAAACCGCGCCCAAAAAUAACCCCCGAAGGCCGGGGCGUCAAGGUCGUCCAGCGGUAAAAGGCCACAAAAACGAGUGGGCUGUAGCCUUGGGGGGUGCGGCUGGCCAACUUCGUCCGCCGGACUCAGAAUGCCGCGUGACUUUGUAUGGGGCAUAUGUGUGCCAAAAAUAGGCCGCGGGCAAAGCCGCGCCCAAAAAUUACCGCCCGAAGGCCGGGUCGCCAUGUUCGUCCAGCGGAAAAAGGCCACAAAAACGGGUGGGCUAUAGCCUUGGGGGGUGCGGCUGGCCCACUUCGUCCGCCGGACUCGGCAUGCCGCGAGACUUUGCGAGGGGCCUCCGUGUGCCAAAAAUAGGCCGCGGGCAAACCGCGCCCAAAAAUUACCGCCCGAAGGCCGGGGCGUCAAGUUCGUCCAGCGGAAAAAGGCCACAAAAACGGGUGGGCUAUAGCCUUGGGGCGUGGGGCUAGCCAACUUCGUCCGCCGGACUCGGAAUGCCGCGAGACUUUGCGAGGGGCCUCCGUGUCCCAAAAAUAGGCCGUGGAUGAAGCCGCACCCAAAAAUAACCGCCCGAAGGCCGGGGCGCCAAGUUCGUCCAGCGGAAAAAAGCCACCAAAACGGGUGGGCUAUAGCCUUGGGGGGUGGGGCUGGCCAACUUCGUCCGCCGGACUCGGAAUGCCGCGAGACUUUGCGAGGGGCCUCCGUGUGCCAAAAAUAGGCCGCAGGCACAGCCGCGCCCAAAAAUAACCGCCCGAAGGCCGGGGUGCCAUGUUCGUCCAGCGGAAAAAGGCCACAAAAACGGGUGGGCUAUAGCCUUGGGGGGUGGGGCUGGCCAUCUUCGUCCGCCGGACUCGGAAUGCCGUGAGACUUUGCGAGGGAUCUCCGUGUGCCAUAAAUAAUCCGCGGGCAAAGCCGCGCCUAAAAAUAACCACCCGAAGGCCGGGGCGCCAAGUUCGUCCAGCGGUAAAAGGCCACAAAAACGGGUGGGCUAUAGCCUUGGGGGGUGGGGCUGGCCAACUUCGUCCGCCGGACUUGGAAUGCCGCGAGACUAUGCGAGGGGCCUCCGUGUGCCAAAAAUAGGCCGCGGGUAAAGCCGCGCCCGAAAAUAACCGCCCGAAGGCCGGGGCGCCAAGUUCGUCCAGCUGAAAAAGGCCACAAAAACAGGUGGGCUAUAGCCUUGGGGGGUGGGGCUGGCCAACUUCGUCCGCCGGACUCGGAAUGGCGCGAGACAUUGCGAGCGGCCUCCGUGCACCAAGAAUAGGCAGCGGGCACAGACGCGCCCAAAAAUAACCGCCCGAAGGCCGGGGCGCCAUGUUCGUCCAGCGGAAAAAGGCCACAAAAACGGGUGGGCUAUAGCCUUGGGGGGUGGGGCUGGCCAACUUCGUCCGCCGGACUCGGAAUGCCGUGAGACUUUGCGAGCGGCCUCCGUGUGCCAAGAAUAGGCCGCGGGCACAGCCACGCCCAAAAAUAACCACCCGAAGGAUGGGGCGCCAAGUUCGUCCAGCAGAAAAAGGCCACAAAAACGGGUGGGCUAUUGCCUUGGGUGGUGGGGCCGGCCCACGUCGUCCGCCGGACUCGGAAUGCCGCGAGACAUUGCGAGGGGCCUCCGUGUGCCAAAAAUAGGCUACGGGUAAAGCCGCGCCCAAAAAUAACCGCCCGAAGGCCGGGGCGCCAAGUUCGUCCAGCUGAAAAAGGCCACGAAAACAGGUGGGCUAUAGCCUUGGGGGGUGGGGCUGGCCCACUUCGUCCGCCGGAGUCGGAAUGCCGCGAGACAUUGCGAGGGGCCUCCGUGUGCCAGAAAUAGGCCGCGGGUAAAGCCGCGCCCAAAAAUAACCGCCCGAAGGCCGGGGCGCCAAGUUCGUCCAGCUGAAAAAGGCCACGAAAACAGGUGGGCUAUAGCCUUGGGGGGUGGGGCUGGCCAACUUCGUCAACCGGACUCGGAAUGGCGCGAGACAUUGCGAGCGGCCUCCGUGCGCCAAGAAUAGGCAGCGGGCACAGACGCGCCCAAAAAUAACCGCCCGAAGGCCGGGGCGCCAAGUUCGUCCAGAGGAAAAAGGCCGCAAAAACGGGUGGGCUAUAGCCUUGGGGGGUGGGGCUGGCCAACUUCGUCCGCCGGACCCGGAACGCCGCGAGAUUUUGCGAGGGGCCUCCGUGUGCGAAAAAUAUGCCGCGGACAAAGCCGCGCCGAAAAAUAACCACCCGAAGGCCGGGGCGCCAAGUUCGUCCAGCGGAAAAAGGCCACAAAACCGGGUGGGCUAUAGCCUUGGGGGGUGGGGCUGGCCAACUUCGUCCGCCGGACUCGGAAUGCCGCGAGACUUUGCGAGGGGCCUCCGUGUGCCAAAAAUAGGCCGCGGGUAAAGCCGCACCGAAAAAUAACCACCCGAAGGCCGGGGCACCAAGUUCGUCCAGCGGAAAAUGGCCACAAAAACGGGUGGGCUAUACCCUUGGGGGGUGGGGCUGGCCAACUUCGUCCGCCGGACUCGGAAUGGCGCGAGACAUUCUGAGGGGCCUCCGUGUGCCAAAAAUAGGAUGCGGGCAAAGCCGUGCCCAAAAAUAACCGACCGAAGGCCGGGGCGCCAAGUUCGUCGAGCGGAAAAAGGCCACAAAAACGGGUGGGCUAUAGCCUUGGGGGGUGGGGCUGGCCAACUUCGUCCGCCGGACUCGGAAUUCCGCGAGACUUUGCGAGCGGCCUCCGUGUGCCAAGAAUAGGCCGCGGGUAAAGCCGCGCCCAAAAAUAACCACCCGAAUGCCGGGGCGCCAAGUUCGUCAAGCGGAAAAAGGCCACAAAAACGGGUGGGCUAUAGCCUUGGGGGGUGGGGCUGGCCCACUUCGUCCGCCGGACUCGGAAUGCCGCGAGACUUUGCGAGGGGCCUCCGUGUGCCAAAAAUAGGCCGCGGGCAAAGCCGCGCCCAAAAAUAACCGCCCGAAGGCCGGGGCGCCAAGUUCGUCCAGCGGAAAAAGGCCACAAAAACGGGUGGGCUAUAGCCUUGGGGGGUGGGGCUGGCCAACUUCGUCCGCCGGACUCGGAAUUCCGUGAGACUUUGCGAGCGGCCUCCGUGUGCCAAGAAUAGGCCGCGGGUAAAGCCGCGCCCAAAAAUAACCACCCGAAUGCCGGGGCGCCAAGUUCGUCAAGCGGAAAAAGGCCACAAAAACGGGUGGGNNNNNNNNNNNNNNNNNNNNNNNNNNNNNNNNNNNNNNNNNNNNNNNNNNNNNNNNNNNNNNNNNNNNNNNNNNNNNNNNNNNNNNNNNNNNNNNNNNNNNNNNNNNNNNNNNNNNNNNNNNNNNNNNNNNNNNNNNNNNNNNNNNNNNNNNNNNNNNNNNNNNNNNNNNNNNNNNNNNNNNNNNNNNNNNNNNNNUGGGGCUGGCCAACUUCGUCCGCCGGACUCGGAAUUCCACGAGACUUUGCGAGCGGCCUCCGUGUGCCAAGAAUAGGCCGCGGCUAAAGCCGCGCCCAAAAAUAACCGCCCGAAGGCCGGGGCGCCAAGUUCGUCAAGCGGAAAAAGACCACAAAAACGGGUGGGCUAUAGCCUUGGGGGGUGGGGCUGGCCAACUUCGUCCGCCGGACUCGGAAUGCCGCGAAACUUUGCGAGGGGCCUCCGUGUGCCAAAAAUAGGACGUGAGUAAAGCCGCGCCCAAAAAUAACCGCCUGAAGGCCGGGGCGCCAAGUUCGUCCAGCUGAAAAAGGCCACAAAAACAGGUGGGCUAUAGCCUUGGGGGGUGGGUUGGCCCACUUCGUCCGCCGGACUCGGAAUGCCGCGACACUUUGGGAGGGGCCUCCGUGUGCGAAAAAUAGGCCGCGGGCAAAGCCGCGCCGAAAAAUAACCACCCGAAGGCCGGGGCGCAAAGUUCGUCCAGCGGAAAAAAGGCCACAAAAACGGGUGGGCUAUAUAGCCUUGGGGGGUGGGGCUGGCCAACUUCGUCCGCCGGACUCGGAAUGCCGCGAGACUUUACGAGGGGCCUCCGUGUGCCAAAAAUAGGCCGUGAGUAAAGCCGCGCCCAAAAAUAACCGCCCGAAGGCCGGGGCGCCAAGUUCGUCCAGCUGAAAAAGGCCACAAAAACAGGUGGGCUAUAGCCUUGGGUGGUGGGGUUGGCCCACUUCGUCCGCCGGACUCGGAAUGCCGCGAGACUUUGCGAGGGGCCUUCGUGUGCGAAAAAUAGGCCGCGGGCAAAGCCGCGCCGAAAAAUAACCACCCGAAGGCCGGGGCGCAAAGUUCGUCCAGCGGAAAAAGGCCACAAAAACGGGUGGGCUAUAUAGCCUUGGGGGGUGGGGCUGGCCCACUUCGUCCGCCGGACUGGGAAUGCCGCGAGACCCUGCGAGGGGCCUCCGUGUCUGAAAAAUAGGCCGCGGGCAAAGCCGCACCCAAAAAUAACCGCCCGAAGGCCGGGGCGCCAAGUUCGUCCAGCGGAAAAAGGCCACAAAAACGGGUGGGCUAUAGCCUUGGGGGGUCGGGCUGGCCAACUUCGUCCGCCGGACUCGGAAUUCCACGAGACUUUGCGAGCGGCCUCCGUGUGCCAAGAAUAGGCCGCGGCUAAAGCCGCGCCCAAAAAUAACCGCCCGAAGGCCGGGGCGCCAAGUUCGUCAAGCGGAAAAAGACCACAAAAACGGGUGGGCUAUAGCCUUGGGGGGUGGGGCUGGCCAACUUCGUCCGCCGGACUCGGAAUGCCGCGAAACUUUGCGAGGGGCCUCCGUGUGCCAAAAAUAGGCCGUGAGUAAAGCCGCGCCCAAAAAUAACCGCCUGAAGGCCGGGGCGCCAAGUUCGUCCAGCUGAAAAAGGCCACAAAAACAGGUGGGCUAUAGCCUUGGGGGGUGGGUUGGCCCACUUCGUCCGCCGGACUCGGAAUGCCGCGACACUUUGGGAGGGGCCUCCGUGUGCGAAAAAUAGGCCGCGGGCAAAGCCGCGCCGAAAAAUAACCACCCGAAGGCCGGGGCGCAAAGUUCGUCCAGCGGAAAAAGGCCACAAAAACGGGUGGGCUAUAUAGCCUUGGAGGGUGGGGCUGGCCAACUUCGUCCGCCGGACUCGGAAUGCCGCGAGACUUUACGAGGGGCCUCCGUGUGCCAAAAAUAGGCCGUGAGUAAAGCCGCGCCCAAAAAUAACCGCCCGAAGGCCGGGGCGCCAAGUUCGUCCAGCUGAAAAAGGCCACAAAAACAGGUGGGCUAUAGCCUUGGGUGGUGGGGUUGGCCCACUUUGUCCGCCGGACUCGGAAUGCCGCGAGACUUUGCGAGGGGCCUUCGUGUGCGAAAAAUAGGCCGCGGGCAAAGCCGCGCCGAAAAAUAACCACCCGAAGGCCGGGGCGCCAAGUUCGUCCAGCAGAAAAUGGCCACAAAAACGGGUGGGCUAUACCCUUGGGGGGUGGGGCUGGCCAACUUCGUACGCCGGAAACGGAAUGCUGCGAGACUUUGCGAGGGGCCUCCGUGUGCCAAAAAUAGGCAGCGGGCUAAGCCGCACCCAAAAAUAACUGCCCGAAGGCGGGGGUGCCAAGUUCGUCCAGCGGAAAAAGACCACAAAAACGGGUGGGCUAUACCCUUGGGGGGUGGGGCUGGCCCACUUCGUCCGCCGGACUCGGAAUGCCGCGAGACUUUGCGAGCGGCCUCCGUGUGCCAAAAAUAGGUCGCGGGCAAAGCCGUACCCAAAAAUAACCGCCCGAAGGCCCGGGCGCCAAGUUCGUCCAGCGGAAAAUGGCCACAAAAACGGGUGGGCUAUAGACUUGGGGGGUGGGGCUGGCCAACUUCGUCCGCCGGACUCGGAAUGCCGCGAGACUUUGCGAGGGUCCUCUGUGUGCCAAAAAUAGGCCGCGGGCAAAGCCGCACCCAAAACUAACCGCCCGAAGGCCGGGGCACCAAGUUCGUCCAGCGGAAAAUGGCCACAAAAACGGGUGGACUAUAGCCUUGGGGGGUGCGGCUGGCCAACUUCGUCCGCCGGACUCGGAGUGCCGCGAGACUUUGCGAGGGGCCUCCGUGUGGCAAAAAUAGGCCGCGGGUAAAGCCGCGCCCAAAAAUAACCGCCCGAAGGCCGGGGCGCCAAGUUCGACCAGCGGAAAAAGGCCACAAAAAAGGGUGGGCUAUUGCCUUGGGGGGUGGGGCCGGCCCACGUCGUCCGCCGGACUCGGAAUGGCGCGACACUUUCCGAGGUGCCUCCGUGUGCCAAAAAUAGGCCGCGGGCAGAGCUGCGCCCAAAAAUAACCGACCGAAGGCCGGGGCGCCAAGUUCGUCCAGCGGAAAAAGGCCAGAAAAACGGGUGGGCUAUAGCCUUGGGGGGUGCGGCUGGCCAACUUCGUCCGCCGGACUCGGAAUGGCGCGAGACAUUGCGAGCGGCCUCCGUGCACCAAGAAUAGGCCGCGGGCACAGACGCGCCCAAAAAUAACCGCCCGAAGGCCGGGGCGCCAAGUUCGACCAGCGGAAAAAGGCCACAAAAAAGGGUGGGCUAUUGCCUUGGGAGGUGGCGCCGGCCAACGUCGUCCGCCGGACUCGGAAUGGCGCGACACUUUCCGAGGCACCUCCGUGUGUCAAAAAUAGGCCGUGGGCAGAGCCGCGCCCAAAAAUAACCGCCCGAAGGCCGGGGCGCCAAGUUCGUCAAGCGGAAAAAGGCCACAAAAACGGGUGGGCUAUAGCCUUGGGGGGUGGGGCUGGCCCACUUCGUCCGCCGGACUCGGAAUGCCGCGAGACUUUGCGAGGGCCCUCCGUGUGCGAAAAAUAGGCCGUGGUCAAAGCCGCGCCGAAAAAUAACCACCCAAAGGCCGGGGCGCCAAGUUCGUCCAGCGGAAAAAGGCCACAAAAACGGGUGGGUUAUAGCCUUGGGUUGUGGGGCUGGCAAACUUCGUCCGCCGGACUCGGAAUGCCGCGAGACUUUGCGAGGGGCCUCCGUGUGCCAAAAAUAGGCCGCGGGCAAAGCCGCGCCCGAAAAUAACCGCCCGAAGGCCGGGGCGCCAAGUUCGUCCAGCGGAAAAAGGCCACAAAAACGGGUGGGCUAUAGCCUUGGGGGGUGGGGCUGGCCAACUUCGUCCGCCGGACUCGGAAUGCCGCGAGACUUUUCGAGGGGCCUCCGUGUGCCAAAAAUAGGCCGAGGGCAAAGCCGCGCCCGAAAAUAACCGGCCGAAGGCCGGGGCGCCAAGUUCGUCCAGCGGAAAAAGGCCACAAAAACGGGUGGGCUAUAGCCUUGGGGAGUGGGGCUGGCCAACUUCGUCCCCCGGACUCGGAAUGCCGCGAGACUUUGAGAGGGGCCUCCAUGUGACAAAAAUCGGCCGCGGGUAAAGCCGCGCCCAAAAAUAACCGCCCGAAGGCCGGGGCGCCAAGUUCGUCCUGCUGAAAAAGGCCACAAAAACAGGUGGGCUAUAGCCUUGGGGGGCGGGGUUGGCCCACUUCGUCCGCCGGACUCGGAAUGCCGCGAGACUUUGCGAGGGGCCUCCGUGUGCCAAAAAUAGGCCGCGGGCAAAGCCGCACCGAAAAAUAACCACCCGAAGGCCGGGGCGCCAAGUUCGUCCAGCGGAAAAUGGCCACAAAAACGGGUGGGCUAUACCCUUGGGGGGUGGGGCUGGCCAACUUCGUCUGCCGGACUCAGAAUGCCAUGAGACUUUCCGAGGGGCCUCCGUGUGCCAAAAAUAGGCCACGGGCUAAGCCGCGCCCAAAAAUAACUGCCCGAAGGCCGGGGCGCCAUGUUCGUCCAGCGGAAAAAGGCCACAAAAACGGGUGGGCUAUAGCCUUGGGUGGUGGGGCUGGCCAACUUCGUCCGCCGGACUCGGAAUGCCGCGAGACUUUGCGAGGGGCCUCCGUGUGCCAAAAAUAGGCCGUGAGUAAAGCCGCGCCCAAAAAUAACCGCCCGAAGGCCGGGGCGCCAAGUUCGUCCAGCUGAAAAACGCCACAAAAGCAGGUGGGCUAUAGCCUUGGGGGGUGGGUUUGGCCCACUUCGUCCGCCGGACUCGGAAUGCCGCGAGACUUUGUGAGGGGCCUCCGUGUGCGAAAAAUAGGCCGCGGGCAAAGCCGCGCCGAAAAAUAACCACCCGAAGGCCGGGGCGCCAAGUUCGUCCAGCGGAAAAAGGCCACAAAAACGGGUGGGCUAUAUAGCCUUGGGGGGUGGGGCUGGCCAACUUCGUCCGCCGGACUCGGAAUGCCGCGAGACUUUGCGAGGGGCC